GGAUAACCUUGCGAAAGUAAGACUAAUACCCAAUGACGUCUCUAGAAGACAUCUGAAAGAGAUUAAAGAUUUAUCGGUGAUGGAUGGGGAUGCGUCUGAUUAGCUUGUUGGCGGGGUAACGGCCCACCAAGGCGACGAUCAGUAGGGGUUCUGAGAGGAAGGUCCCCCACAUUGGAACUGAGACACGGUCCAAACUCCUACGGGAGGCAGCAGUGAGGAAUAUUGGUCAAUGGGCGAGAGCCUGAACCAGCCAAGUAGCGUGCAGGAUGACGGCCCUAUGGGUUGUAAACUGCUUUUAUAAGGGAAUAAAGUGGGUCACGUGUGACUUUUUGCAUGUACCUUAUGAAUAAGGACCGGCUAAUUCCGUGCCAGCAGCCGCGGUAAUACGGAAGGUCCGGGCGUUAUCCGGAUUUAUUGGGUUUAAAGGGAGCGUAGGCCGGAGAUUAAGCGUGUUGUGAAAUGUAGACGCUCAACGUCUGCACUGCAGCGCGAACUGGUUUCCUUGAGUACGCACAAAGUGGGCGGAAUUCGUGGUGUAGCGGUGAAAUGCUUAGAUAUCACGAAGAACUCCGAUUGCGAAGGCAGCUCACUGGAGCGCAACUGACGCUGAAGCUCGAAAGUGCGGGUAUCGAACAGGAUUAGAUACCCUGGUAGUCCGCACGGUAAACGAUGGAUGCCCGCUGUUGGUCUGAAUAGGUCAGCGGCCAAG
rnacentral:rRNA from 1 species